rnacentral:tRNA from 1 species
UAAAAGAUAGACUAAAAAAAGUCGUUGGAUUCAUAAUUCAAAAAUAUAGUAAUUAUUCUUUUAA